GGAUCACGCCAGAUAUAUAGUCCCGGAGAUGUUCCGGCGUAAAAAGAAGGGAAGUGCGGUGAGAAUCCGUCGCAACAGCCAUUACUGUAUGCAGGGGAGUGCCCCUGUCGAGUCAGAUCGCUUGCUAUAUAUCUAAUUCUUCG
rnacentral:ncRNA from 1 species